ensembl:lincRNA
UGUUUGGGGGAGCCUCUGCCCCACGCCCUCCAGCUCUUCCGCGGGGUCACCGGCCUGCCCCUCUCUGCGCACUGGGGACGUGGGAAGAGCGACCCAAGUUCCCCCCUUGCCGAGGCAGCGAGACCCUCCCCGGAAGCCUACAGAGACCUCGGUGGGAGCGAGGCUGGGAUGCGCAAGGCCACCUGCGGACCGGCAGGGCCUGGGAGGGGCGUGUUCGCCCCGUGGGGCUUGCUCUGCGACCUCCUAGAUGCGCGAGGCGGCCGUGUAGUGGCUACAACCCUGCAACUAGUUCAUCCUGGAAGGAUGUGGUGGAGGUGGCAGGGAGCUCCUACAGAGACUGCCCUUUCCCCGCCACAUUUGGAGUCGUGUGAAAGGAAUUUUUGUGAGUUGUGUCUCGUUGGCCGAGUCAGCUCCCCCCCACUGUCCCCUCCAGGCCGUGCCUGCCCUCACCUAGAAUCCUGCCCCCUUUGUCCUCACCACGUGGACUCCCAACUGGGGCUGCUCUACCCUUUGCGGUUUGGAGCUUAAUUCCAGUGCUACAACGAGACUUCCGGUAACAGAAACAAAUUGCAAUCAACAGUUCGGGAAACAGCUACACAAAGAAGCCGGUGGGCCCACAGUCACCCCCUCCUUUUUUUUUUUUUUUUUUCGAAAAACAUCAUUUCGAGUGUGCAGUUGCUCAGAUCACGAACACCUACUCCUUUUAUCUGGAGAAUGUACCCACGUCACUACCUGCCACAGCACCUGAGCCAGAUACAGAGCAGGGCUGCAGUGCCCCCAUGUUCUACAUCGCAGACUCCUCUGGGUGCCUACUGUGUUGCACAGUAGGUCAUGUCACUGUCACCCCUCACCCCAAGAAAUGUGUGGACUCGGGGCCUUCCAGGUUCCCAGCGGAAACUGGAACUAACCCUGCAAACUGGCAAGCCUGGCCUACGCAGAGACUUGAAUGCCUCCUUUAUUAAUUCCUCAUCCUAAUUAGGAUUGAUGCUGCACUUAGCAUCUUGCCAGCUGCCUCGAGCCAUUUGCACUCGCUGCUCAUCAAGAGAGCCCUUAGCUGAUCUGGGCAGCUGGCUCCACUGGCAAAGGGAGCCAUCUGGGGGACUUCAUGGAAAGAACGGGGCUGCCUGUGUCACUCCCUAAAGCUCCUGGGAUCCAGGGCCGGGUGAGCUGGUUUAAUAUCCCUUGUCGAGGCUCAAAUCAUUAUGACAGCCCCAUACCUGAGUAGGAACUGCCGGCAUGGCUUACAGAAACAUGUCAUGGAGGCCAACAGCUCCCAGAGCCAGCUGAUACCUCCUAUGGUGCCUGGCAGCAAGUGGCCAGGGCUGAGACCUAAACAGCACAUUAACCCCAGACCACUUCCGGGAAGGGAUGGAGGGGGCCUCCAUGUUGGCUUUUGUGUGCAAAAUGCAUUGUUUCCACCUCUUCUUUAGUAACGCACCCCAAAGUCAUUACAUCAGAACCCAAACAGAGGGGUUCAAACCCCUGAGCUGAAACUGAAGAAAUACUGCAGCAGACAGCUAAUAAGGCUCAGGGAACAGCACAGAACUCAGAUGGGUUUCCUGGCGACUCGUUCCCGGGUGUUUGCUAUAAACGAUGGACUAAUUACCCUGACCUCCGUGUGCUCAAUAUAUCCAUGCAGCCGGGCAGGGAUGUCGCCCCAGCCUCGUUCUGACCCCCAAGCAGCAUCUGCCUGGCGCACGCCUCUCCAUGGGACGAGUGUCAGACUGUUCAGUGCCAGAGCCUCGUGUGUGAUACCACUGACAAGGCUCGCAGUGGCCCCACAAAGACUGAGUAAUGACUUCACCCACAUAUACCGAUGAGGACGUGAGGCCCAGAGAGGUUCUAGGACUUGCCCAGAGGCUGCUGGGCCGAGCCUCUCUCUCACUACAAAGCUUCCUACCGUGUCAUCUUGCCCUUUUCCUAACAGCUUCUGGGUUGCCAUUAAAAAUAGAACCAAGCACUUGGCUACCCAGUGGAGCCCAGCUCUGAGUCUGGGCUGGCGGCAGCAUGAAGGCAUUUGGAGGUGAGGGCAUGUAACUGAUGCAGAAAUUGUAUAACAUACUCUUCCCUUGUAUCUCCUUCACUUUCACUUUCUUCCCCUUCCGUCUGUUUUUCUGUCUGUCUCUUAGUUUCUCUAUGUCUCUGUCACUUGGCUUCUACUAUCUCUUGAACUACCCUGCCCCACCGUAGUCAUCUGCCCCCCAACUCCUGAGGCCCUCGUUCAUUCUUUAUAUCUCUGGUAACACCCGGCUGAGGCUGAGGACAUAGGAAAAGGGUCAUAGGCAUCAUCAACCAACAUUAAUUCCCCCUCUGCUGUGUUCUAGAAAGGGACAGAGCACAGAAUGUAAGCACACAUUGUGGAGUGUGGACUGGAGGGGUGGAAGACCCCGUGGAAACCUGGAGGCAGUAGGGGCUGGGCAUUUAGCUCGGGCAUAGCACCUGCCUGGCAAGCUCAAGAUCCUGAGUUCAAUCCCCAGUACUGAAAAAAAAACAAAACAACAACAACAAAAAAAACAUGGAGGCAAUAGGAGACUCUAUGCCCAGAGGGAGUGGUUUAUGAUCACCUGCCAAGAUUCCCUUACCUACUGUGAACUCUAGAGAGCUCCCUGGGGCUGCUGGGGCUGCUGGGUGAGGGCCUGCAGAACAGUGUGAACCCAGCAUGUGUGGUCCUGCAGAGCUGAGCCUCGGCAGCCCCCGCCCCGCCACACGUAAAGCUGUCGCCCAGCACACUCACGGUUCUGUCAGAGCCUUAACGAAGCAGCCUUGAUCCAAGUGUGGUUACUGUACUUGGUGUCAGCUCUCUGCUGGACACUAGCAUGAGAAGAUUCUAGAGGCUGAGAAUGAGCACAUGCUUUGCGUAAUUGUGCCGACCUCCCUCACCAGGGCAGCAGCUCUUACCCCGCUAUUCCCUACUUUCUUCAUACUGUGGUGCACACACACACACAUAUACAUGCACACGCACACCCAUACACACACA